rnacentral:ncRNA from 1 species
UUGAUCUCAGAGUUGGUUCCUCCAACUUUGUAUUCAGCAAAAUGAGUGAUCUGAGGUCUUUGGGACUAAAGGAUUCUGCUCUUUCUGAGACUUUAUAUAUAUGAGAAGCCCAGCCAGUGCCUCAUGGACCACUUUUGGUCAGCAGAACUGGUACUGUGGGAUGUACAGAAUAUCAGUUUUGGUGCUUGGUGAGGAUGUUAUGAGACCUCAGGAAAGAUGUUGGUAAAUGCAGGCAGCAGGACAAUGGUGACCAAGUGUUACAUGCUGGUAAGGAGUGUGUAGCAACUCACUUGCGAUGCACUAACCCUGAACACAGGUGGCACAGAGUGUCAGGCCCAUACCUGGCCUUCUUUGGCAGUGAACACACAAGAGAGU